ACUAGCAGUAAGAGUUUGAUCCUGGCUCAGAUUGAACGCUGGCGGCAUGCCUAACACAUGCAAGUCGAACGGUAGCAGGUCCUUCGGGAUGCUGACGAGUGGCGGACGGGUGCGUAACGCGUGGGAAUCUGCCCAAUAGUGGGGGAUAACCCGGGGAAACCCGGGCUAAUACCGCAUACUCCCGUACGGGGGAAAGCGGGGGACCGCAAGGCCUCGCGCUAUUGGAUGAGCCCGCGUCCGAUUAGCUUGUUGGUGGGGUAAAAGCCUACCAAGGCGACGAUCGGUAGCUGGUCUGAGAGGACGACCAGCCACACUGGGACUGAGACACGGCCCAGACUCCUACGGGAGGCAGCAGUGGGGAAUAUUGGACAAUGGGGGCAACCCUGAUCCAGCGACGCCGCGUGUGUGAAGAAGGCCUGCGGGUUGUAAAGCACUUUUAGUGGGGAUGAAAAGCUCAGGGAUAACACCCCUGGGUCUUGACCUAACCCACAGAAAAAGCACCGGCUAACUCUGUGCCAGCCGCCGCGGUAAUAC
rnacentral:rRNA from 1 species